rnacentral:misc_RNA from 1 species
GAUGAAGAACGUAGCGAAAUGCGAUAAGUAAUGUGAAUUGCAGAUUUCAGUGAAUCAUCGAAUCUUUGAACGCACCUUGCGCCUUGUGGUAUUCCACAAGGCAUGCCCGUUUGAGUAUCAUUAAAUCAUCAACUCUAAAACCUUUGUGGUUUUUUUUAGAGCUUGGUCUUGAGGGUUUUGCAGGCUUUUUUUUUUUUCGAGUCUGCUCCCUUUAAAUGCAUUAGCGAGACUUCCCUAUGCUGAACCGUAUCUUUGACGUGAUAAUUAUCUGCGUCGAAUUUUGGUUCUCGUUGGGCUUGCUUCUAAUCGUCUGUUAAAGACAAAACGGAUUUGGGUGCAUAUAUGCGCCUUUUUCCAAAACCUUUUUUUGAUCUCAAAUCGGGUAGGACUACCCGCUGAACUUAAGCAUAUCAAUAAGCGGAGGA